GCCAUAUCACUUGGAAACACCGGUUCUCGUUUGAUCACCGAAGUUAAGCAACGUUAAGCGUGAUCAUACCUGGAUGGGUAACUGCUCGGGAAUAUCAGUUGUUGUAAG